ACUAAAUAGAUACCCGGGUAGUCCUAGCUGUAAACGAUGGGCACUUGGUGUUGGGGGUAUUGAGUCCCCCGGUGCCGGAGUUAAACACGUUAAAGUGCCCCGCCUGGGGAGUACGGUCGCAAGACUGAAACUCAAAGGAAUUGACGGGGCCCGCACAAGCGGUGGAGCAUGUGGUUCAAUUCGACGCAACGCGAAGAACCUUACCGGGGCUUGAACAGCAACUGCAACUCGAUGAAAGUCGGGGUUCUCUUCGGAGACGGUUGUAGAGGUGCUGCAUGGCUGUCGUCAGCUCGUGUCGUGAGAUGUUGGGUUAAGUCCCGCAACGAGCGCAACCCUUGCCCUUAGUUGCCAUCAGGUCAAGCUGGGCACCC
rnacentral:rRNA from 1 species